AAAAGUUGUAUUCUCUCCAUUUUACAGAUGAGGAAAUCAAGGCACAGAGAAGCACAGUACCUACCCAGGGAUCUUAAAGAUUGAAGUUUCUUCAUUUAUUUGUCCUCAGAAAAACGACAUUGAGAAACAGGUCAGUUUUGCAGCUAAUACAUGGAAGAACUGACAUUUGAACAUAGGCUGACUGGCCCUAGAGAAUGGGAGAUGAGAUAUUAACUGCUGCACUGGACAAAGAGGGAGUCAAGCAACUUGGUACUCACACACAAUAGACUUCCAGAGCCUUUCAUUUUCUGAAGAUGAGAGGAGGAAGGAGGAAGGAGAAGGAGGAAGAAACGAAAGGAGAAAUAGAUGGGAAGACUACACAGACUCAGGAACGCAGUGGUGCACACUUGGUAAAAGGGCAUAAGGUACUUUUAAUAUUUUGCACUAAGCCUUGUCAUUCCUUCCACCUUCAUAAAACCAGAUUCUAAAAGGGCCAAAGCCUAUCCUUAUAAAUUCAGAAUGCCAUGGAUGUAAGAGAAUUUGGGAGUGGUUUGUUUUAAUUUUGAAUUUCUUUUUUCGUUUAUUUUUUUUUUUUUUGGAAAAACAGCUUAGAAACUUCAAUCUGGUGAAAGUAUCAUUGACUUACAUUGGGUUGUUUCAGCCCUGCAUCAGAUCCCAAAGUAACAAAUAAUCUUAAUGUAACUACUAUUUCCAUCCAACCAGUUAUAAGCAUCUCCUAACCCAAAGAACACUUCCAGAUUUUUCUUGCUGCUUUAUCAGAGUUCAGGUUCACUUUGUCAAACUUUUUACAGUUCUAAAAUAGAAAACAGAACCGAUGCCCUAUGUCUUACAAUUAAUUGCAUGCACUUCUGUUUGUUCCACCAAGUUUCUCGACAGAUACAAUUUCUCCCCUUUCGAAGGUAAGCAGAAGGGGUCAUGUAUUCCUUAGUACAUGCUGUGAUAACAGUCCUUGUCUGUCAUACACAGUAGGGCCGAUGCUAAGACGAAU
rnacentral:lncRNA from 10 species